rnacentral:rRNA from 1 species
GCUCAAAUUUGAAAUCUCCCUUUGGGGCGAAUUGUAGUUUAUAGAAGUGUUUUCUGGGAUAGCCCGGGUGUAGGUCCUUUGGAACGAGGCAUCAUAGAGGGUGAGAAUCCCGUGCCGCCUGGCGUCUAUUCCUUUGUGAUACACUUUCUACGAGUCGGGUUGUUUGGGAUUGCAGCCCAAAAUGGGUGGUAAAUACCAUCUAAAGCUAAAUAUUGGCGAGAGACCGAUAGCGAACAAGUACCGUGAGGGAAAGAUGAAAAGAACUUUGAAAAGAGAGUUAAACAGUACGUGAAAUUGCCAAAAGGGAAGCGCUUGGAACCAGUGUUGCAAUCCGUAAUCAGCCAGUCUUAGACUGGUGCACUUGCGGUGAGCAGGUCAGCAUCAGUUUAGUCUGGGCUAAAAAGCUUGCGACGUCCCUUCGGGGUCUGCGUUUGUUAUGGCCUGGACUAGACUGAGGUCCGCUUUCACAGGAUGCUGACAAAAUGGUUUCAAACGACCCGUCUUGAAACACGGACCAAGGAGUCUAACAAAUACGCGAGUAUUCGGGUGGCAAACCCUUAUGCGCAAUGAAAGUGAAAUUGGUGGGAACCUCGGUGCACCAUCGACCGGUCUGGAUUUUUUUGAUAGAUCUGAGUAAGAGCGUAUCUGUUAGGACCCGAAAGAUGGUGAACUAUGCCUGAAUAGGGUGAAGCCAGAGGAAACUCUGGUGGAGGCUCGUAGCGAUUCUGACGUGCAAAUCGAUCGUCAAAUUUGGGU